rnacentral:tRNA from 1 species
UCCAUGUAGCUCAGAUGGUAAAGAAUCUGCCUGCAAUGCAGAUGACCCGGGUUCAAUCCCUGGAUCAGGAA